rnacentral:rRNA from 1 species
UGGGGAAUAUUGCACAAUGGGCGGAAGCCUGAUGCAGCAACGCCGCGUGCGGGAUGACGGCCUUCGGGUUGUAAACCGCUUUCGCCUGUGACGAAGCGUGAGUGACGGUAAUGGGUAAAGAAGCACCGGCUAACUACGUGCCAGCAGCCGCGGGGAUACGUAGGGUGCGAGCGUUGUCCGGAUUUAUUGGGCGUAAAGGGCUCGUAGGUGGUUGAUCGCGUCGGAAGUGUAAUCUUGGGGCUUAACCCUGAGCGUGCUUUCGAUACGGGUUGACUUGAGGAAGGUGGGGGAGAAUGGAAUUCCUGGUGGAGCGGUGGAAUGCGCAGAUAUCAGGAGGAACACCAGUGGCGAAGGCGGUUCUCUGGGCCUUUCCUGACGCUGAGGAGCGAAAGCGUGGGGAGCGAACA